rnacentral:rRNA from 1 species
GUCGAACGGACUUGAGAGGGCUUGCUCUCUUAAGUUAGUGGCGGACGGGUGAGUAACACGUGAGCAACCUGCCUUUAAGAGUGGGAUAACGGUCGGAAACGACCGCUAAUACCGCAUAACAUACACGAACCGCAUGGUUUGUGUAUCAAAGAUUUAUCGCUUAAAGAUGGGCUCGCGUCUGAUUAGCUUGUUGGUGAGGUAACGGCUCACCAAGGCGACGAUCAGUAGCCGUACUGAGAGGUUGGCCGGCCACAUUGGGACUGAGAUACGGCCCAGACUCCUACGGGAGGCAGCAGUGGGGAAUAUUGGGCAAUGGGCGCAAGCCUGACCCAGCAACGCCGCGUGAAGGAAGAAGGCUUUCGGGUUGUAAACUUCUUUUAAGGGGGAAGAGCAGAAGACGGUACCCCUUGAAUAAGCCACGGCUAACUACGUGCCAGCAGCCGCGGUAAUA